rnacentral:rRNA from 1 species
UACGGAAGGGGCAAGCGUUGUUCGGAAUUAUUGGGCGUAAAGGGCGAGUAGGUGGUUCUGUAUGUCUACCGUGAAAGCAUACAGCUCAACUGUAUUUUGUCGGUAGAAACUGCAGGACUUGAGGCUGGGAGGGGCUGGUGGAAUUCCCUGUGUAGCGGUGAAAUGUGUAGAGAUGGGGGAGAACACGCGUGGCGAAGGCGGCCAGCUAGACCAGUUCUGACACUGAGGCGCGACAGCGUGGGGAGCAAACAGG